rnacentral:rRNA from 1 species
UACGAAGGGGGCUAGCGUUGCUCGGAAUCACUGGGCGUAAAGCGCACGUAGGCGGACUCUUAAGUCGGUGGUGAAAUCCUGGAGCUCAACUCCAGAACUGCCUUCGAUACUGAGAGUCUCGAGUCCGGGAGAGGUGAGUGGAACUGCGAGUGUAGAGGUGAAAUUCGUAGAUAUCUGGAGGAAUACCGGUGGCGAAGGCGGCAUCCUGGACCGAGAUUGACGCUGAUGAGCGAAAGCUAGGGGAGCAAACGGG